UAAGGAAUAUUGGUCAAUGGAGGCAACUCUGAACCAGCCAUGCCGCGUGCAGGAUGAAGGCCCUAUGGGUCGUAAACUGCUUUUAUACCAGAGAAAACCCUUCCACGUGUGGAAGGCUGAUAGUAUGGUAAGAAUAAGCAUCGGCUAACUUCGUGCCAGCAGCCGCGGUAAGACGAAGGAUGCAAGCGUUAUCCGGAUUCAUUGGGUUUAAAGGGUGCGUAGGCGGACCAGUAAGUCAGUGGUGAAAUCUCUUUGCUUAACAAGAAACUGCCAUUGAUACUGCUAGUCUAGAGUAUAGAUGACGUUGGCGGAAUAUGACAUGUAGUGGUGAAAUACUUAGAUAUGUCAUAGAACACCGAUUGCGAAGGCAGCUAACGAAACUAUAACUGACGCUGAGGCACGAAAGUGCGGGGAUCAAACAGGAUUAGAUACCCGGGUAGUCCCUGAGCGGGCUGGCAAGGCGCAU
rnacentral:rRNA from 1 species